rnacentral:rRNA from 1 species
UACAGAGGGUGCGAGCGUUGUCCGGAAUUAUUGGGCGUAAAGAGCUCGUAGGCGGCUUGUUGCGUUGGAUGUGAAAGCCCGGGGCUUAACUCAGGGUCUGCAUUCGAUACGUGCAGGCUAGAGUUCGGUAGGGGAGAUCGGAAUUGCUGGUGUACCGGUGAAAUGCGCAGAUAUCUGGAGGAACACCGGUGGCGAAGGUGGUGGUCUGGGCCGGAACUGACGCUGAGGAGCGAAAGCGUGGGGAGCGAACAGG